GACGAACGCUGGCGGCGUGCCUAAUACAUGCAAGUAGAACGCUGAAGGAGGAGCUUGCUUCUCCGGAUGAGUUGCGCACGGGUGAGUAACGCGUAGGUAACCUGCCUGGUAGCGGGGGAUAACUAUUGGAAACGAUAGCUAAUACCUCAUAACAGUAGAUGUUGCAUGACAUUUGCUUAAAAGGUGCCAUUUCAUCACUACCAGAUGGACCUGCGUUGUAUUAGCUAGUUGGUGGGGUAACGGCUCACCAAGGCGACGAUACAUAGCCGACCUGGGAGGGUGAUCGGCCAAAAUUGGAAUGGGAAACGGGCCAGACUCCUACGGGAAGGAGCAGGAGGGAAUCUUCGGAAAUGGACGGAAGUCUGACCGAGCAAAGCCGCGGGAGGGAAGAAGGGUUUCGGAGCGGAAAGCUCUGUUGGAAGAGAAGAACGAGUGUGAGAGUGGAAAGUUCACAGGGUGACGGUACCUGAACAGAAAGGGACGGCUAACUACGUG
rnacentral:rRNA from 1 species